rnacentral:rRNA from 1 species
CCUGGCUCAGAUUGAACGCUGGCGGCAUGCCUUACACAUGCAAGUCGAACGGCAGCGGACCGUUCGGGUGCCGGCGAGUGGCGAACGGGUGAGUAAUAUAUCGGAACGUACCUUCAGUGGGGAUAACGUAGCGAAAGUUACGCUAAUACCGCAUAUUCUGUGAGCAGGAAAGCAGGGGAUCGCAAGACCUUGCGCUGAUUGAGCGGCCGAUAUCAGAUUAGCUAGUUGGUGAGGUAAGGGCUCACCAAGGCGACGAUCUGUAGCGGGUCUGAGAGGAUGAUCCGCCACACUGGAACUGAGACACGGUCCAGACUCCUACGGGAGGCAGCAGUGGGGAAUUUUGGACAAUGGGCGCAAGCCUGAUCCAGCCAUGCCGCGUGAGUGAAGAAGGCCUUCGGGUUGUAAAGCUCUUUCGGCCGGGAAGAAAUCGCACAGGUUAAUACCCUGUGUGGAUGACGGUACCGGAAUAAGAAGCACCGGCUAACUACGUG